rnacentral:rRNA from 1 species
UACGAAGGGGGCUAGCGUUGCUCGGAAUUACUGGGCGUAAAGGGCGCGUAGGCGGAUAUCUAAGUUGGGGGUGAAAUCCCGGGGCUCAACCUCGGAAUUGCCUUCAAAACUGGAUAUCUUGAGUUCGGGAGAGGCGAGUGGAACUCCGAGUGUAGAGGUGAAAUUCGUAGAUAUUCGGAAGAACACCAGUGGCGAAGGCGACUCACUGGCCCGAUACUGACGCUGAGGCGCGAAAGCGUGGGGAGCAAACAGG